UGAGGAAUAUUGGUCAAUGGGCGGGAGCCUGAACCAGCCAAGUCGCGUGAGGGACGACGGCCCUACGGGUUGUAAACCUCUUUUGCCGGGGAGCAGGGAGCGCCACGCGUGGUGCUUUUGAGAGUACCCGGAGAAAAAGCAUCGGCUAACUCCGUGCCAGCAGCCGCGGUAAUACGGAGGAUGCGAGCGUUAUCCGGAUUUAUUGGGUUUAAAGGGUGCGUAGGCGGGAUGUCAAGUCGGCGGUAAAAUUCGGGGCCCAACCCCGUCGUGCCGUCGAAACUGGCGUCCUAGAGUGGGCGAGAAGUACGCGGAAUGCGUGGUGUAGCGGUGAAAUGCAUAGAUAUCACGCAGAACUCCGAUUGCGAAGGCAGCGUACCGGCGCCCAACUGACGCUGAAGCACGAAAGCGUGGGGAUCGAACAGGAUUAGAUACC
rnacentral:rRNA from 1 species